AUACCCAAAACCCAACAACCCACCCAAUCCACCCACUAAUUUAAGAGGUUGGGUUGGAUAAAUUGGAUGUUGGGUUAAUUUUGGGUUGGAUAAUUAAAACACACAUGUAUUUUGGGCGGUUUGGGUAAUUAAGUUGGGUACCCAUUACCCAAUUAAAAAAAACAAAUAAAACAAAAACACCAGUUUCUGGCGAAUGAACCUCCACAACCACCAGCUUCGCACCUUUACUCUUUAGCAAAUUCACAAGCCUCUCGACAAAGAGUUCUUUCUUUCUUGCUAACAACGAUUUCAAUCAAAAGAAAGAAAUUUUCAAUCCUACUUUGGGUUCAUUUCUGCUACCCUUUUUGCAGUUCUAUCAUCCCAAAUCCAAGCAGAAGUCACAAAAUCUCAGAUUAAAGCUGUCGAACCUUAACCCCAUUUGCUCCUGUGAUGUCCUUGGCUAUUGUUCCUACAGGAUAUGUCAGUUGCUUGUGAUCUUGAUGAUGAUGUCGAUUAUUGCAGUCAUGGGAGUAAUACGGAGACAUAUAAGAGAUCCCAUUCAGCAGUUUGGCCUCAUUUUCAUAGGUUAGAACCUGAUGAGCAUGGUAGACGGACAGCUAUAUGCAAAACAUGUGGGGUUUGAUGUGUACCAAUCUCAACAAAAGGCAAGUGGUAACAAAUCUGAGUUGGAGUUGUAUCUUGAGGAGUGACUAGUCGAUCGUAAGCAACAACCAGAUUUGAAUGUUUUGACUUAUUGGAAGGAGAGUAGAAUUAGAUAUCCUGAACUUUCACUUAUGGCUCGAGAUAUCUUAAGUAUUCCUAUUACCACUGUCGCGUCCGAGUCUGCUUUUAGUCAUGGUGGGAGAAUUCUUGGAAAAUUUUGAACUUCUAUGUUGCCGGAUAAUGUGGAGGCACUACUGUGUUCUCGAGAUUGGUUGUAUAAUAGUGAAGAGAGUCUUGAUAAAGAUUUUGAAGUUGAACAAGAAGACGAGGAGCAAGAUCUUGGAAUUGAUAUUAGUAGAUUAAGUGCUGAACAAGAUGCAUCUUCAAAUGUUGAUACUUAAUGUUCCAGUAUAUGUCCAUUUGUUAUAUCACUGGGUUUGAAUGCUGCCCAAGUUCCAUAAAGCAAAUUAGUUUCAGCUUUGAAUUCUAGCAUUUUUGGGGUGUUCAGUAGUUAUUUAUCUUUCCUCAAUGAGUUGUUGAAGGAUUAAAAUGUGCUUUAUUGGUGACUAGUUGAUGGUUGUGUUGUCAUUGGACCUGUUCUAAUGUUGCGUUAAUUUUUUGAAGAAUUUU